UCCAGGGUAGCCUAGUGGACAUGGCACCUGCCCGGUAAGCAGAAGGUUGUGGGUUCGAUUCCCGCCCCUGGAC